GAUGAAGAACGUAGCGAAAUGCGAUAAGUAGUGUGAAUUGCAGAAUUCAGUGAAUCAUCGAAUCUUUGAACGCACAUUGCGCCCCUUGGUAUUCCAUGGGGCAUGCCUGUUCGAGCGUCAUUUGUACCUUCAAGCUCUGCUUGGUGUUGGGUGUUUGUCUCGCCUCUGCGUGUAGACUCGCCUCAAAAUAAUUGGCAGCCGGCGUAUUGAUUUCGGAGCGCAGUACAUCUCGCGCUUUGCACUCAUAACGACGACGUCCAAAAGUACAUUUUUACUCUCUUGACCUCGGAUCAGGUAGGGAUACCCGCUGAACUUAAGCAUAUCAAUAAGCGGAGGA
rnacentral:misc_RNA from 1 species